AGCUGCGUGGCGCAGUGGAAGCGCGGUAAGUCCUGGAAACUCGCUAGUGAUGACAUGAGCACCAUAACUAAUUCGCCUCAGCCGGGCUCAUAACCCGGAGGUCCUCCGAUCGAAACGGAGCGCAGCUA